rnacentral:rRNA from 6 species
UAGACCGCCUGGGGAGUACGGCCGCAAGGUUAAAACUCAAAUGAAUUGACGGGGGCCCGCACAAGCGGUGGAGCAUGUGGUUUAAUUCGAUGCAACGCGAAGAACCUUACCUGGUCUUGACAUCCACGGAAGUUUUCAGAGAUGAGAAUGUGCCUUCGGGAACCGUGAGACAGGUGCUGCAUGGCUGUCGUCAGCUCGUGUUGUGAAAUGUUGGGUUAAGUCCCGCAACGAGCGCAACCCUUAUCCUUUGUUGCCAGCGGUCCGGCCGGGAACUCAAAGGAGACUGCCAGUGAUAAACUGGAGGAAGGUGGGGAUGACGUCAAGUCAUCAUGGCCCUUACGACCAGGGCUACACACGUGCUACAAUGGCGCAUACAAAGAGAAGCGACCUCGCGAGAGCAAGCGGACCUCAUAAAGUGCGUCGUAGUCCGGAUUGGAGUCUGCAACUCGACUCCAUGAAGUCGGAAUCGCUAGUAAUCGUGGAUCAGAAUGCCACGGUGAAUACGUUCCCGGGCCUUGUACACACCGCCCGUCACACCAUGGGAGUGGGUUGCAAAAGAAGUAGGUAGCUUAACCUUCGGGAGGGCGCUUACCACUUUGUGAUUCAUGACUGGGGUGAAGUCGUAACAAGGUAACCGUAGGGGAACCUGCGGUUGGAUCACCUCCUUACCUUAAAGAAGC